UUUUGUAAUAACUUUUUAAUUAUUUUCUUUUGAAAAUCACUCACACUCGUUCUCCCUGUCUCUGCUACAAUGGGCAACACGAAUCUUUGCACCACAGUCCUACCAUGUUUAACUUUCACAACUCUUUACCUCACCUUCUUGCUGCUCCACUUGUCCAACACAUUGGCCAUUAACUCUCCGUCUCCUUACAAACCAGUCGAUAAUAUUAUCCUUAACUGUGGCUCCUCUGACAAUUCGACUGCAUUAGAUGGUCGGACCUGGACUGGAGAUGUCAAUUCAAAAUUCUUCCCUCAAGAACUAUCACAAAACCAGGCCUCUCUAGCCACAAACUCAGUUAAGCAAUCCUCAUCUGCUUCGCGAGUACCCUAUACCACUGCCCGCUUGUCUGUCUCCCCAUUCACCUGCAUAUUCCCACUCACUACCGGCCAAAAAUUCGUUCGACUAUACUUCUACCUAGCUACGUACAGCAAUUUCGACCGCUCUAAUGCCCUCUUCUCUGUCAAAGCUGGAACUUUUACCCUUCUUUGAGACUUCAAUGCUUCACUUACAGCAGAUGCCGAUGGUGAUCCGGAUGAUACAAUAUUUAGAGAGUUCUGUAUUGACAUCGUGGAAGAUUUGAGGCUGAACAUAACCUUCAAUCCAAGCAAUUCCAAUUCAUUUGCUUUUAUCAACGGAAUUGAAAUUUUGUCCAUGCCUUCUUAUCUCUAUUACACUCCGUCUGAUGAUAAGAGGUUCCCUUUAAUCGGCGAGGAGUACAUGUUCAACAUUGAUAACGGAACUGCUCUGGAGACGGUAUACAGAGUAAAUGUUGGAGGGAACUACAUCUCACCCACUGAAGACACUGGAAUGCUCCGGAGCUGGAGUCCGGACGAAAAGUACUUGGCAGAUGUUAUGUCAUCUGUUAUACCUGUUAACUCAACUAUUGAACUUAUGUUCACCAAAAUACCUCCAUACACUGCACCGGAAGCUGUCUAUCGAACUGCCCGGACUAUGGGGAGGUACAAAGCUGUCAAUAAGCUGUACAACCUAACUUGGGAAUUUCCCGUAGAUUCUGGGUUUUAUUACCUUGUUAGGCUGCACUUCUGCGAGUUUCAACCGGAGAUUAUUGAAUGGCAUGACCGAGUAUUUGUUAUUUUCAUAGCAAAUCAAACCGCUGAGAAAGAAGCCGACAUUAUAGUAUGGAGUGGGAGUAAGGGUGUUCCGGUAUAUAAGGAUUACGCUGUGGGAUGUUUGGCGAAGAAAGCGAGAAGAAAAAGAACCUUUCUAUAGCCAUAAAAGCAAAUCCGGAUGACUCGUUGACUAGUUACAGUGAUGCAAUAUUGAACGGUAUUGAAAUCUUCAAAGUAAGCGAGUACUGUGGCAAUGUCGCUGGACCCAACCCCGACCCACUUCCGUCGACCCCUCCAACGGCUGUGCCCCAGCUACAUUUAGCAGAGUCGACGAAUAACAGAACAACAAUAAUUGCCGUCAUUGGCGGUGUUACCAUACUCUUGAUUCUCGGAUUCUUGAUUUUCCGACUAGCCAAAAGAGACAAGGAUUUCUGCAAUUCAACCCAGGCCUCCAGCUCAACUCUACCGUGUAGUUUAUUUCGUUACUUCUCACUCACUGAGAUUAUAGCAGCUACCAACAAUUUUGACAAAGUAUUUAUUAUUGGUGCUGGAGGGUUCGGUGACGUGUACAAAGAUUAUGUUAAUGAUGGGGCCACCCCAGUUGCGAUCAAACGGUUAAAACCCGGUUCUCAACAAGGAGCCCAGGAGUUCAAGACAGAAAUCGAGAUGCUGUCUCGGCUCCGCCACCUCCAUCUCGUUUCUCUGAUUGGAUAUUGUAAUGAUGAUAACGAGAUGAUUCUCGUGUAUGAUUAUAUGGCUCAUGGGACCCUUCGUGAUCAUUUCUAUAACACCAAUUAUCAGCCACUUUGUUGGAAGCAACGUCUCCAAAUCUGCAUUGGUGCAGCACGUGGGUUGAACUACCUUCAUACAGGUGCGACACAUACAAUCAUUCAUCGUGAUAUGAAGAGUACAAAUAUCUUAUUAGAUGAUCAGUGGUUGGCCAAGGUGUCUGAUUUCGGGUUGUCAAAAUUUGGUCCCAUUACGUCUAAGUCCCAUGUUAGUACAGUGGUUAAGGGUACAUUCGGAUAUUUGGACCCGAAAUAUUAUCGCUUUCAACAACUAACUGAGAAGUCUGACGUGUACUCUUUUGGUGUGGUGUUGUGUGGAAGGCCACCAAUCAUACAUACGACUGAGGAGCAUCCAAUGGGUCUAGCAGCAUGGGUCCUGCAGUGCUAUCACAAUGAAAAGCUUGAUCAAAUUGUUGAUCCAUCUUUGAAGGAUGAAAUUGAACCAGAAUGCUUAAAGAAAUUUGGCGAGAUUGUGGUGAAUUGUUUGCUUGACAAUGGAACCAAAAGACUACCAAUGAAUGAUGUGGUUGGGAGUCUUGAGUUAGCAUUGGAGUUGCAAGAGAGUGCAGAAAAAGAUGUCAAGCUUGAUUUGUCAGAAGAAAUUGACAUGAAGGACUUUGAUGAGCAAGCUCUGAUCCCUAUGUCCGAUGUCAAUGAAAGUGAUGACAUGAUUUUUAGUAGCAGUGGAAAAGUAUCGAGUACUAAUGGCAGUAGUCAAGUGACCGUAGUAAGCCGGGGAAGUUUUGCUAGUAAGGAUUCAGAUGGAUUGAUGUCCCCCAGGGCAGUGUUUUCUGAGAUUAUGGGUCCUAAAGGUCGAUAAACAAAGGGAAAAAAAAAAAA